UACAGAGGUCUCAAGCGUUGUUCGGAUUCAUUGGGCGUAAAGGGUGCGUAGGCGGCGCGGUAAGUCGGGUGUGAAAUCUCGGGAGCUUAACUCCGAAACUGCAUUCGAUACUGCCGUGCUUGAGGACUGGAGAGGAGACUGGAAUUUACGGUGUAGCGGUGAAAUGCGUAGAUAUCGUAAGGAAGACCAGUGGCGAAGGCGGGUCUCUGGACAGUUCCUGACGCUGAGGCACA
rnacentral:rRNA from 1 species